rnacentral:rRNA from 1 species
AGAGUUUGAUCAUGGCUCAGAAUCAACGCUGGCGGCGUGCCUAACACAUGCAAGUCGAACGAGAAAGUGGAGCAAUCCAUGAGUAAAGUGGCGCACGGGUGAGUAACACGUGACUAACCUACCCUUGAGUGGGGGAUAACUGAGGGAAACCUUAGCUAAUACCGCAUAACACCUACGGGUCAAAGGAGCAAUUCGCUCGAGGAGGGGGUCGCGGCCGAUUAGUUAGUUGGCGGGGUAACGGCCCACCAAGACGAUGAUCGGUAUCCGGCCUGAGAGGGCGCACGGACACACUGGAACUGAAACACGGUCCAGACUCCUACGGGAGGCAGCAGUGGGGAAUUUUGCGCAAUGGGGGAAACCCUGACGCAGCAACGCCGCGUGGAGGAUGAAGUCCUUCGGGACGUAAACUCCUUUCGAUCGGGACGAUUAUGACGGUACCGGAAGAAGAAGCCCCGGCUAACUUCGUGCCAGCAGCCGCGGUAAUACGAGGGGGGCGAGCGUUGUUCGGAAUUAUUGGGCGUAAAGGGUGCGUAGGCGGUUUGGUAAGUCUUAUGUGAAAUCUAUGGGCUCAACUCAUAGACUGCAUGAGAAACUGCCGGGCUCGAGUGUGGGAGAGGUGAGUGGAAUUUCCGGUGUAGCGGUGAAAUGCGUAGAUAUCGGAAGGAACACCUGUGGCGAAAGCGGCUCACUGGACCACAACUGACGCUGAUGCACGAAAGCUAGGGGAGCAAACAGGAUUAGAUACCCCAGUAGUCC